GAUGAACGCUGGCGGCGUGCCUAAUACAUGCAAGUCGAGCGAACAGACGAGGAGCUUGCUCCUCUGACGUUAGCGGCGGACGGGUGAGUAACACGUGGAUAACCUACCUAUAAGACUGGGAUAACUUCGGGAAACCGGAGCUAAUACCGGAUAAUAUAUUGAACCGCAUGGUUCAAUAGUGAAAGACGGUUUUGCUGUCACUUAUAGAUGGAUCCGCGCCGCAUUAGCUAGUUGGUAAGGUAACGGCUUACCAAGGCAACGAUGCGUAGCCGACCUGAGAGGGGGAUCGGCCACACUGGAACUGAGACCAGGUCCAGACUCCUACGGGAGGCAGCAGUAGGGAAUCUUCCGCAAUGGGCGAAAGCCUGACGGAGCAACGCCGCGUGAGUGAUGAAGGUCUUCGGAUCGUAAAACUCUGUUAUUAGGGAAGGACAAAUGUGUAAGUAACUAUGCACGUCUUGACGGUACCUAAUCAGAAAGCCACGGCUAACUACGUG
rnacentral:rRNA from 1 species